AUUGAACGCUGGCGGCAGGCCUAACACAUGCAAGUCGAACGAGUGGCGGACGGGUGAGUAAUGUCUGGGAAACUGCCUGAUGGAGGGGGAUAACUACUGGAAACGGUAGCUAAUACCGCAUACCAUCGGAUGUGCCCAGAUGGGAUUAGCUAGUAGGUGGGGUAAAGGCUCACCUAGGCGACGAUCCCUAGCUGGUCUGAGAGGAUGACAAGCCACACUGGAACGGAGAAACGGUCCAGACGCCUAGGGGAGGAAGCAGUGGGGAAUAUUGCACAAGGGGCGAAAGCCUGAGGCAGCCAUGCCGCGUGUAUGAAGAAGGCCUUCGGGUUGUAAAGGACUUUAAGCGGGGAGGCGUUACCCGAAGAAGAAGCACCGGCUAACUCCGGGCCAGCAGCCGCGGUAAUAC
rnacentral:rRNA from 1 species